rnacentral:lncRNA from 1 species
CACCUCACGAUUAUCCAAGAGGACGUCACCGAGACAACACUCAAAGGAAUGGAUAAAGCUUGUCUGCCGUGUUAGAUCUAAAACACAUUGAAGCUCUGAUCAUUAGAAGAAUGAAGCUCAAAUCUGGAGCUUCUUUUCGGCGAUAAAGCAUUUAUCGUUUCGAGCCUCAUUUUCUCUCCGACAAACUCCGUUGGUGACACUUGUGGUAGCCUGGACACAUUUCGGUGUAACUCGCAACACGUAUACCAGCAGAAGUUGAUCUGAAGGAUUAGCAGGAAAAUGUGGAACAGGUAGCUAACCGUGGACGACGAUAAUUGCAACUUGCCUCCGUUGAUAGCUUGACAUUUGCAACUCACGACCAACUGCCAUCACCAAGCCAUCGCCAGAAUCCGCCGCCGCCGAAGCCCUCAACGAAAACAGCAAACCACCGUGAAGCUUCAGAGGAAGUUUUGAACCUCUUCAAUUGUCGUUAUGGUAACCCGCUCAGCAUUGGUAACCUUUUUCAUUUCAAGUUUAAAAUUUUAAUUUGAUCUUUGAACUGUGCAAAUCUGAUUUUGCGUCACAUAUUCUCAAUCAUCU